UACGUAGGCAGCAAGCGUUGUUCGGAAUGACUGGGCGUAAAGCGCGUGUAGGCGGCCUCGCAAGUCGGGUGUGAAAGCCCUGGGCUCAACCCAGGAAGUGCACUCGAAACUGCAAGGCUUGAGUUCCGGAGAGGAAAGCGGAAUUCUCGGUGUAGAGGUGAAAUUCGUAGAUAUCGAGAGGAACACCGGUGGCGAAGGCGGCUUCUGGACGGCGACUGACGCUGAGACGCGAAAGCGUGGGGAGCAAACAGGAUUGAGA
rnacentral:rRNA from 1 species